GAUGAACGCUGGCGGCGUGCCUAAUACAUGCAAGUCGAGCGAACGGACGAGAAGCUUGCUUUUCUGAUGUUAGCGGCGGACGGGUGAGUAACACGUGGAUAACCUACCUAUAAGACUGGGAUAACUUCGGGAAACCGGAGCUAAUACCGGAUAAUAUUUUGAACCGCAUGGUUCAAAAGUGAAAGACGGUCUUGCUGUCACUUAUAGAUGGAUCCGCGCUGCAUUAGCUAGUUGGUAAGGUAACGGCUUACCAAGGCAACGAUGCAUAGCCGACCUGAGAGGGUGAUCGGCCACACUGGAACUGAGACACGGUCCAGACUCCUACGGGAGGCAGCAGUAGGGAAUCUUCCGCAAUGGGCGAAAGCCUGACGGAGCAACGCCGCGUGAGUGAUGAAGGUCUUCGGAUCGUAAAACUCUGUUAUUAGGGAAGAACAUAUGUGUAAGUAACUGUGCACAUCUUGACGGUACCUAAUCAGAAAGCCACGGCUAACUACGUGCCAGCAGCCGCGGUAAUACGUAGGUGGCAAGCGUUAUCCGGAAUUAUUGGGCGUAAAGCGCGCGUAGGCGGUUUUUUAAGUCUGAUGUGAAAGCCCACGGCUCAACCGUGGAGGGUCAUUGGAAACUGGAAAACUUGAGUGCAGAAGAGGAAAGUGGAAUUCCAUGUGUAGCGGUGAAAUGCGCAGAGAUAUGGAGGAACACCAGUGGCGAAGGCGACUUUCUGGUCUGUAACUGACGCUGAUGUGCGAAAGCGUGGGGAUCAAACAGGAUUAGAUACCCUGGUAGUCCACGCCGUAAACGAUGAGUGCUAAGUGUUAGGGGGUUUCCGCCCCUUAGUGCUGCAGCUAACGCAUUAAGCACUCCGCCUGGGGAGUACGACCGCAAGGUUGAAACUCAAAGGAAUUGACGGGGACCCGCACAAGCGGUGGAGCAUGUGGUUUAAUUCGAAGCAACGCGAAGAACCUUACCAAAUCUUGACAUCCUUUGACAACUCUAGAGAUAGAGCUUUCCCCUUCGGGGGACAAAGUGACAGGUGGUGCAUGGUUGUCGUCAGCUCGUGUCGUGAGAUGUCGGGUUAAGUCCCGCAACGAGCGCAACCCUUAAGCUUAGUUGCCAUCAUUAAGUUGGGCACUCUAAGUUGACUGCCGGUGACAAACCGGAGGAAGGUGGGGAUGACGUCAAAUCAUCAUGCCCCUUAUGAUUUGGGCUACACACGUGCUACAAUGGACAAUACAAAGGGCAGCGAAACCGCGAGGUCAAGCAAAUCCCAUAAAGUUGUUCUCAGUUCGGAUUGUAGUCUGCAACUCGACUACAUGAAGCUGGAAUCGCUAGUAAUCGUAGAUCAGCAUGCUACGGUGAAUACGUUCCCGGGUCU
rnacentral:rRNA from 1 species